rnacentral:misc_RNA from 1 species
AGCCUGACUUCGAUGCUUAUAUUGGUAAAUAUAUUAUGAUUAAUUAUCUACUCACGAGUAUAUAUUCUGGAGAUAACUUCACACGUGUGGUUUCGCGGACUGACACCUAAGAGAACGAAAUUUUUUAUUAUAAAAAUACCUCAAUAUUUACUUUAUUGCAAUAUUACUUUUAUCAUUAACGUCAAGUUGACGUGGAAGGUUAUAUUAUAAAAUUUCUCAUUACAAUGUCCUUGCCACAUUAACAAAGAGAAGAGACAAUUAAAAAAAAAAAAAACUCGAAGUACCAUUUCGAUGAAAACAAAAAUUUUUUUAAUAAAAUUACAUGAUAAAUUUGUG